CAUUAUUUUUCAAGAGCUAGUUUUCAUCUAUGGUUGAUUUUUCGAUUCUUGUGUAACCGGACCCGGGAGAACCUUGUUUUUGAUAUUACAAUUAUUUGUUUUUUGAUGCGAAUCUCCGGUUGUUUUUUUUGUGUUGAGAGACAUCGUGUGAAGAACGGCGAGCCAGGAUCCAAAAGAGCAGAUUGAGAUUGUGUCCACUACGACGUCAAAGAAGAACCUUCUUCUGUUCCACUUGAUCGGUGGGAUUGCACAUAUUAACACUACCCGGGUAGCUACCAUAUAACAUUCAGAUCUGAAAACUGAAUUGAACU